rnacentral:misc_RNA from 1 species
CUGGAACGCGCCCCAGGCGCACCCAGAAACCCUUUGUGAACUUAUACCUUUUGUUGCCUCGGCGCAUGCUGGUCUCUAGUAGGCCCCUCACCCCGGUGAGGAGACGGCACGCCGGCGGCCAAGUUAACUCUUGUUUUACACUGAAACUCUGAGAAAAACACAAAUGAAUCA